AUUGAACGCUGGCGGCAGGCCUAACACAUGCAAGUCGAACGAGUGGCGGACGGGUGAGUAAUGUCUGGGAAACUGCCUGCUGGAGGGGGAUAACUACUGGCAACGGUAGCUAAUACCGCAUACCAUCGGCUGUGCCCAGAUGGAAUUAGCUAGUCGGUGGGGUAAAGGCUCACCUAGGCGACGAUCCCUAGCUGGUCUGAGAGGAUGACCAGCCAAACUGGAACGAAAACACGGUCCAGAAUCCGACGGGAGGAAGCAGAGGGGAAUAUUGGACAAUGGGCGAAAGCCUGAUCCAGCCAUGCCGGGUGUGUGAAGAGGGUAUUCGGAUUGUAAAGCACUUUAAGUUGGGAGGCGUUACCAACAGAAUAAGCACCGGCUAACUUCGUGCCAGCAGCCGCGGUAAUUC
rnacentral:rRNA from 1 species